ACCUGGUUGAUCCUGCCAGUAGUCAUAUGCUUGUCUCAAAGAUUAAGCCAUGCAUGUGUAAGAUCGGCAUAGUCUGGUUUCGGCCAGAACAAUGUUAAUCUGUGAAAGGCUCAUUAAACAAGUUAUGAAUUUAGCCACCUGGUUCCGUCGCAAGACGUAGGAAUAACACUGUCAACUGCAGCGAUAAUGCCUGAAAAACGUGUGAAUUUAGUAGCACAAAUACUAGAGUAUGGAUGAGUCCGCUCUAUUCAGGAGGGUUUUCCCUCUGUUGACCAUCGAGUUCGAGGGUUGAAUACUUAGGCUUCGGCUUCUGUUGAAAGCUUUAUCGGUGGCCGGGAAGAUAUGUUUCUAAUCUAUUAGCCAGACUAUUGGGUAAGGUCCAAUUUUCGGCUAUAAUGGAUACAGGGGAUCGGUGUCCGACUCUGGAGAGAGAGCCUGAGAAACGGCUAUCACAUCUAAGGACGGCAGCAGGCGCGUAAAUUACCCAAUCCUAAUUCAGGGAGGUAGUGACAAGACGUAGCGACUUUGCACCAAAUGGUGUGAAGGUACCACUUAGUGGUUUGAAAUGGAUGGAGACUAAAGCUCUCCUUGAGUAGCAAUUAGAGGACAAGUCUGGUGCCAGCACCCGCGGUAAUUCCAGCUCUAAAAGUGUAUAUUAAUACUGUUGUAGUUAAAACGCCCGUAGUUUACCUAAGGGGUUUGAUCACUCAUCUGUCCAGGAGAUGUCUUUGUUGUGGUGUCAUUCGUGCCACUGCGCUUAGGCUAUUCUGGGCCUUGGCUCUUACCGCUGGUCAAUUUUUUUGACCAGCGUCAAAGGGUAGGUGGGUGCUUCCGGCCUCGAUCCUCUCCAUUUUCUAUGGGGGGGCCUCUGGAACAACCGUAAACAAAUCAGCGUGUUCAAAGCAGGCUAUGUAUGGGUUUUACCCUUUGCUUGAAUGAUUUAGCAUGGAAUUGUACUGAAGUUGGCGAGGUGUUUCACCAAGCCAGCGGUUGUAAUGAGACACUGGAAGAGGCUCCAAGUACUAUGGCGCGAGAGGUGAAAUUCAGUGACCGCCAUAUGACUAUCUAAUGCGAAAGCAGUUGUAGCCAGUACGUGUCUGUCAAUCAGGGACGAAAGUUGAGGGAUCGAAGAUGAUUAGAUACCGUCGUAGUCUCAACCGUAAACGAUACCAACACGAGAUUGGUAGUGAAACCAUAAUUAGAUCCUAUCAGCAUCCAAGGGAAACCGUUAAGUCUUUGGGUUCUGGGGGGAGUAUGGUCGCAAGGCUGAAACUUAAAGGAAUUGACGGAAAGGCACCACCAGGAGUGGAGUAUGCGGCUUAAUUCGACUCAACGCGGGGAAACUCACCAGGUUAGGAUGUGAAUAUGAUUGACAGAUUGAAGUUCUUUCUUGAUUUUACAGAAGGUGGUGCAUGGUCGUUCUUAGUUCGUGGAGUGAUUCGUCUUGUUAAUUCAGAUAACGAGCGAGACCUUAACCUGCUAAUUAGCUAGAAAGGGGGUUUACCCCCUCAUCGAACAGAACCUGUUAGGGUUCACUAGAUUUUCUAGUUGAUACUACAUUGUAGUAUUACUUCUUAGAGGUACAGCACUCGCACAAUAGAGUGAGGAAGUUUAAGGCGAUAACAGAUCUGUGAUGCCCUUAGAUAUCCUGGGCCGCACGCGUACUACAAUAUUGGUAGCAACAGGUAACGUCAUGCCGUCUUUUAGACGGCAACCCUUGUCGGAAACGAUUGGGAAAUCCUAUAAAGAGUAAUAUGACUGGGAUUGAGGUUUGGAAGAUCCUCAUGAACGAGGAAUUCCUAGUAAGCAUGAUUCAUCAAGUCGUAUUGGCUUAGUCCCUGCCUUUUGUACACACCGCCCGUCGCUCGUACCGACUGAAGAAAACCGUGAGUUAGAUGGACUACUUGGUUGUAUAACCGGGUUGAAAUCUACCGAACGGCCAGCUUUGUAGGAACGAGAAGUCGUAACAAGGUCUCCGUAGGUGAACCAGCGGAAG
rnacentral:rRNA from 1 species